AGUCACGUGCUCUGGAAAGGGGUGGAGUCAACCCUGACCAGGGCACGUGACCUGAUCAAAAGCAAACACCGGGCAGAGUUCAGAGCCGUGGUCCCCUCGGAUGAGGAGGGCAGUGGGACUCACGAGGAGAGGACACUAGGAGGGAGGAUUUGAACGUUCCCUGUCUACACCGCAGGCAAUACGUAAAAGCCUCUUUCCUUUGCAAGAAAGGGAACGCUCCGGGCUGUUUUCUGGGUAGCGGUCCCCAGCGUGGUGCCUCCAGCUCCAGAUGCCCGUGGAUAGACUCAGCAGGACGGCGGGUUAUUCCGGAGGCUCAGGGCCACCCAGCCUCGGCGCCUGUCCUCUGGCUGGGAAGCCCCGUCCCUGUUGUCCUCACCUGUUCCUGGGAUCUUGGGCCUGAUUAUCAGACAGGAAUGGAAUGGAAUCAUCUGCCAUGUUUUCCUUUUCACCUUGGCCACCAGGAAACUCUAAGAGCUGGUAUUCGGUUGCUAGAUCAUUCUGACCUCGGGUUUGUGACACACUUCCAUGCCUACUUCCUUGAAUUAGUAUCUGUCACUCAAAUCAUGUACAAAUAUAAACUUAAAGGGGCACCUGGUGAGUAUUUGGUAUGGAAUCCGGAACACAUGUGUGUUUGUGGGGGGCUCCUCCGCCCUGAGGUCCACGCACAGGAGCACAGAUGCCAGCCCUCGGGAUCUGCAAUGGGAUUUUGUUUACUUUCCAGCGAUGAUGAGCCAAGUGCUGGAUAAAGGCCUGAUGAAGGUUGAUUGAUUUAAUUUUCGUAAUGACUCUAGGAGGUGUGGACGAGCAUCGUGCCCAUCUGACGGAUGGAGAAGCUGAGGCAGAUGGAAACCAAGUAACUUGCCUAGAGCCACAUGCUAGAAAGCCAGGCUGUGAGCCGGGCGGCCUGUCUCCAGGGCUCACGUUCUUCAUCAGCAUAUUGGGGGCUGAUGCGAGCCUUCCCAUGGCAG